rnacentral:rRNA from 1 species
UACGUAGGGUGCGAGCGUUGUCCGGAAUUACUGGGCGUAAAGAGCUCGUAGGUGGUUUGUCGCGUUGUUCGUGAAAACCGGGGGCUUAACCCUCGGCGUGCGGGCGAUACGGGCAGACUUGAGUACUGCAGGGGAGACUGGAAUUCCUGGUGUAGCGGUGGGAAUGCGCAGAUAUCAGGAGGAACACCGGUGGCGAAGGCGGGUGCUGGGCUGAUACUGACGCUGGAGGCGACGAAAGCCUAGGGGAGCGAACGGG